UAGGGAUAGAAAAAUAAAGACUACCCAUCCCAUACCCCUUCCUUUUAUAAAGAAAAUUCCAUUGGUGAUGCAGAAGAAGAAAAAUAAGCAUGCCAAUGUUAAGAGUAAUCAUGAUACGGCAGAUGCUGUGGUGGAAUUUCUGUCAGACAGUAAAUAUGAUGCUCCACUGAAGCUAAAGAAGAAGAGCAAAAAGAAGAAAAUGGAAAGUAGUGGUCCUGCAGUCGUAUAUGAAAGUUCAGUUGUUACUGAAGAUGCUGGAGCAUCUAAGCUGAAGAAAAAGAAAAGGAAGGUAAAGGGAGGGAAGGUCUCUGCUGGGAUUACUGAUGCAGAAGAAAUUCUGCAUGAAAAUCAAAUUGAAGAAACUAGUGCUGAUGUCAACCAACUUGCAGCACUGAGUGAAGAUGUGGAUAAUGAAGAGCCUCAGAAAUUAAAGAGGGGAAAGAAAAUGGAAGUUAAAAAAUCUGGGAAGGCCAAGAAGAAGGACAAGCAUGCAUCGCGUAAAGAUAAUAACAACUUGGAGAGACAUGUUGAUGUUAGUACUGCAAACGCUGAUGAGAAUAUGAGAUUCCAUUAGUUGAUGAAGACUGCUCUAGAGGACUGAAAAAAUGGAUCUUGGAGUGCAAACACAAGAGACCUGGCUUGAAAGCCUUGCAAGAAGCAAUAGAUGAAUUUAUUGUUGCUCAUGAGGAACAACAAGAGAAGGAGAAGAGAGAGAGGCCCGUGCAGCAGAAGAUGGAUGGGCAGUUGUUCAUCACAAGGGGAGGAAAAAGACCACAGAUGCUGAAACUGGAAUAGCUGUUGGCUCUGUAUCUCUUGCUGCAAUGCAACAUAAAAUGGCUAAAAUGAAACCCAAGGAAGUUGAUAUGAACUUCUACAGAUUUCAGAGAAGAGAAGCCCACCUCAGUGGUAUGUCAUCAUUGCUUAACGAGACUUAUUAUUUGUUAUUCCACUCCCUGAUUAGCUACACAUGAUAGAACCCAGACUAUAUAUUGCACAUUAUGAAGUGCUUGGACUUGGUAGUUGUAAUGCAAUGCAGUUCACCAGCCACGAUAAAAUGUAAUCUGUUCACUUGUUUGCCAUUUGAAUACGAGUAACCUGUACCUGCAGCUUGAUAUUUUCUGUUCUGGUUUUGGGGGUAGUAUUUGGUUCUAUUAGAAGUUUACUGUUUUGCAUCUUCAGUUUGGUUGGAGUCACAAGUCCACAGCCAUUGUACUAUCUUGAUUGGACUUCAAAUGAACCAUAUGUGUG